rnacentral:lncRNA from 1 species
AAUACUCAAGGAUGAUCUAGAAUUUAAUUGUCAACUCUAGAUAAGUUAUCCACAUUGUAUUUCAAUCUUUUAAAUCCAUCACAUGGAUUAUUCAGGGUCAGAUUAUGCUAAAUUAAAAUACAUUGAUAUAUUAACUCCUACUAAUUCAGAGGGGUCAAUUUCAUCUUGACUUACAUAUUAAUUUGAUAAGUACUUGACUGUAUCCAAAAAAGCUUUCAUUAUUGAAUUAUAAACUUAGAUAGUCUGACAUCAAAGUACAGUGAGUUGCUUGCAAGUUUUUUUUCAUGGUG